AAGAGGACAAAUGCAGGCAGGGGUACUGCUGUGGAGCAGAAUCACCAGGAGGCCUGGACAAUGAGGAAAUGGAGAGAAAAAAGAAAUUGAGACUGAAGUGGUUUAUGUACAAUGCCAAAGCUCCCACACGUAGUGCAUGGAAAAGGAGCCCUCAGAACCUGGGCUUUUCGAACUACAGCUAUGUCAUUGGAGGAAAGAGAACAGCUCAGCUCUCCAAAUUGCAGUAACUGUUGAGCUAAGGUGAUGACGUCAAGGGGAAGCUAUUCCUGAUUUUACUCCAAGGUGGCUUUCCCAAGACCAGAACCAGCUCAUGAAAAAAGAGCCCAAUCAGGAAAGGGUGGUUAGACUCUAAUCACCCUGGGCAGUCCCUGCCUCUUCUCCUUGGUGCUCCUCAUUCCCCUGCAGGUACCAACCAGUCCUUUAGCAUCCUUACGGGGCCCCUCUCUAGGAUUUGGGGAGUGAGUGAAAGAGUUGGCACAUCCCAGUUUACGGAGGGCAGACCAUGUGCAGGGGCUUCACAAACAUCAUCAACUUUCACCCUUCCAGCAUUCCUGCUGGGAGACCCUCCUUCAUUUUCAGAAGAGAGUCAUUUGGGGUUCAACCAGUUUCAAUAAAUCAUUUGCCCACGUCACAGAAAAAGGAAGGAUUAGACCUAGUUUUCUUUUUCUUAAGAUACAUCAUAUAUCAUACAACUUGCCCUUUUAAACUAUACAGUUCAGUGGUUUUUGGUACAUUCAUGAUGUUGUGCAACUAUCACCACUGUCUAAUUUAAGAACAUUUUUAUCCCUCUAAAAGUAAACCCCAUACCUUUUAGCAGUUACUCCUUACAACACC
rnacentral:lncRNA from 1 species